rnacentral:rRNA from 1 species
GUCUCUUUGUGUGUUAUAAAUAAAGAGUCGGGCCUGCUCGGUGAAUAAUUGUUUUAACAGCUGCGGUAUUUUAACUGUACUAAGGUAGCAUAAUAAUUUGCCUUAUAAUUUGAGGCUAGAAUGAAUGGUUUGACGAAGGUUAAUCUGUCUCUAUUCUAUUUUUUAGAAAUUAAUUUUUAAAGUGAAAAAGCUUAUAUUUUUUAAAGGGACGAGAAGACCCUAUUGAGCUUAUAAUUUUAUUACUAUUAUUAUUGCAUGUGUGUAGUAGUAUAUAAAUUUUAAUUGGGGUGAUUAGGGAAUAAAAUAAUAAAUAUAGUAACUUCCUUAGAAUUAAUAUUGUUGGGUAAAGUAACCAAUAUUAUUGCUUAUAUUAUAGUUACCAUAGGGAUAACAGCGUAAUUUAUUUAGAGAGUUCUUAUUAAAAAAUGAGAUUGCGACCUCGAUGUUGGAUUAAAGUAACCUUAAGGUGCAGAAGCUUUAAUAGGUAAAUCUGUUCGAUUUUUAAAACUUUACA